rnacentral:rRNA from 1 species
UACGAGGGGGCGAGCGUUGUUCGGAAUUAUUGGGCGUAAAGGGUGCGUAGGCGGUUCCGCAAGUCCUGUGUGAAAUCUACAGGCUCAACUUGUAGUCUGCACGAGAAACUGCCGGGCUUGAGUGUGGGAGAGGUGGAGGUGAAUUCCUGGUGUAGCGGUGAAAUGCGUAGAUAUCAGGAGGAACACCUGUGGCGAAAAGCGGCUCACUGGACCAUAACUGACGCUGAUGCACGAAAAGCUAGGGGGAGCAAAACAGG